rnacentral:misc_RNA from 1 species
GAUGAAGAACGCAGCGAAAUGCGAUAAGUAAUGUGAAUUGCAGAAUUCAGUGAAUCAUCGAAUCUUUGAACGCACAUUGCGCCCGCCAGCACUCUGGCGGGCAUGCCUGUUCGAGCGUCAUUUCAACCAUCAAGCCCCCAGGGGCUUGUGCUGGGGCCCUGCGGCUGCCCGCAGGCCCUGAAAACCAGUGGCGGGCUCGCUAGUCACACCGAGCGCAGUAGCGCAUCUCGCUCAGGGCGUGCGGCGGGCUCCUGCCGUGAAACCCCCCACUGUAACCCCAAAGGUUGACCUCGGAUCAGGUAGGAAUACCCGCUGAACUUAAGCAUAUCAAUAAGCGGAGGA